rnacentral:rRNA from 1 species
CCUACGGGUGGCUGCAGUGGGGAAUUUUGGACAAUGGGCGCAAGCCUGAUCCAGCCAUUCCGCGUGAGUGAAGAAGGCCUUCGGGUUGUAAAGCUCUUUCGCAAGGGAAGAAAACUUAUCCUCUAACAUAGGAUGAGGUUGACGGUACCUUGAUAAGAAGCACCGGCUAACUACGUGCCAGCAGCCGCGGUAAUACGUAGGGUGCAAUGGUUAAUCGGAAUUAGCGGGCGUAAAGCGAGGGCAGGCGUGUAAUCCCCGAGCUCAACUUGGGAACUGCGUUUGAAACUACAAGACUAGAAUAGGUCAGAGGGGGGUAGAAUUCCACGUGUAGCAGUGAAAUGCGUAGAGAUGUGGAGGAAUAUCAAUGGCGAAGGCAGCCCCCUGGGAUCAUAUUGACGCUCAUGCACGAAAGCGUGGGGAGCAAACAGGAUUAGAUACCCCGGUAGUC